UGUCCACAUCAUGUUGAAACACUGGUUUCCAUACAAUCAUCAAAUUUAAGCAAUGUCGAGCCUGGUCAGUACCUAGAUGGGUGACCACUUGGGAAUACCAGGUGCUGUAA